rnacentral:rRNA from 1 species
AUUGAACGCUGGCGGCAGGCUUAACACAUGCAAGUCGAGCGGAGAUGAGGUGCUUGCACCUUAUCUUAGCGGCGGACGGGUGAGUAAUGCUUAGGAAUCUGCCAUUUAGUGGGGGACAACAUUCCGAAAGGAACGCUAAUACCGCAUACGUCCUACGGGAGAAAGCAGGGGAUCUUCGGACCUUGCGCUAAAUGAUGAGCCUAAGUCGGAUUAGCUAGUUGGUGGGGUAAAGGCCUACCAAGGCGACGAUCCGUAGCGGGUCUGAGAGGAUGAUCCGCCACACUGGGACUGAGACACGGCCCAGACUCCUACGGGAGGCAGCAGUGGGGAAUAUUGGACAAUGGGCGGAAGCCUGAUCCAGCCAUGCCGCGUGUGUGAAGAAGGCCUUUUGGUUGUAAAGCACUUUAAGCGAGGAGGAGGCUACUGAGACUAAUACUCUUGGAUAGUGGACGGUACUCGCAGAAUAAGCACCGGCUAACUCUGUGCCAGCCGCCGCCGUAAGAC